AGCUAACGCGUUAAGUAGACCGCCUGGGGAGUACGGCCGCAAGGUUAAAACUCAAAUGAAUUGACGGGGGCCCGCACAAGCGGUGGAGCAUGUGGUUUAAUUCGAUGCAACGCGAAGAACCUUACCUGGUCUUGACAUCCACAGAACUUUCCAGAGAUGGAUUGGUGCCUUCGGGAACUGUGAGACAGGUGCUGCAUGGCUGUCGUCAGCUCGUGUUGUGAAAUGUUGGGUUAAGUCCCGCAACGAGCGCAACCCUUAUCCUUUGUUGCCAGCGAUUAGGUCGGGAACUCAAAGGAGACUGCCAGUGAUAAACUGGAGGAAGGUGGGGAUGACGUCAAGUCAUCAUGGCCCUUACGACCAGGGCUACACACGUGCUACAAUGGCGCAUACAAAGAGAAGCGACCUCGCGAGAGCAAGCGGACCUCAUAAAGUGCGUCGUAGUCCGGAUUGGAGUCUGCAACUCGACUCCAUGAAGUCGGAAUCGCUAGUAAUCGUGGAUCAGAAUGCCACGGUGAAUACGUUCCCGGGCCUUGUACACACCGCCCGUCACACCAUGGGAGUGGGUUGCAAAAGAAGUAGGUAGCUUAACCUUCGGGAGGGCGCUUACCACUUUGUGAUUCAUGACUGGGGUGAAGUCGUAACAAGGUAACCGUAGGGGAACCUGCGGUUGGA
rnacentral:rRNA from 1 species